rnacentral:rRNA from 1 species
CCAAGCUGGCUUGAGUCUGCGACCCAAGAUUGUAUUAGGCAAGCUGCGGAGGGACGCAGGAAGGUAGCCCAUCCCGGGCGAUGGUUGUCCCGGGGUAAGUGUGUAGGGUGAGGUGUAGGCAAAUCCGCACCUCGUGCGCCUGAGACAUGAUGCCUUUUGGAGCUACGGCUCCUGAAGUGGGUGAUCCUAUGCUGCCUAGAAAAUCUUCGUGAGCGAUGUUGUUAGCCGCCCGUACCCUAAACCGACACAGGUGGAUAGGUAGAGAAUACCAAGGCGAUCGAGAGAAUCAUGGUGAAGGAACUCGGCAAAAUACCCCCGUAACUUCGGGAUAAGGGGGACCUGAUUUGUGAUGGGAUUCACUCCCUGAGCAUUGAGGGUCGCAGAGACCAGGCCCAAGCGACUGUUUACUAAAAACACAGGUCCGUGCCAAGUUGAAAGACGAUGUAUACGGACUGACUCCUGCCCGGUGCUGGAAGGUUAAGGGGACGUGUUAGCGCAAGCGAAGCACUGAACUUAAGCCCCAGUAAACGGCGGUGGUAACUAUAACCAUCCUAAGGUAGCGAAAUUCCUUGUCGGGUAAGUUCCGACCUGCACGAAUGGAGUAACGAUUUGGGCGCUGUCUCCACCAUGAACUCGGCGAAAUUGCACUACGAGUAAAGAUGCUCGUUACGCGCAGCAGGACGGAAAGACCCCGGGACCUUUACUAUAGUUUGGUAUUGGUGAUCGGUACGACUUGUGUAGGAUAGGUGGGAGACUUUGAAGCAUGGACGCCAGUUCGUGUGGAGUCAACGUUGAAAUACCACUCUGGUCGUUCUGGUUAUCUAACCUAGGUCCAUUAUCUGGAUCAGGGACAGUGCCUGAUGGGUAGUUUGACUGGGGCGGUCGCCUCCCAAAAUGUAACGGAGGCGCCCAAAGGUUCCCUCAGCCUGGUUGGCAAUCAGGUUUCGAGUGUAAGUGCACAAGGGUGCUUGACUGUGAGAGAGACAUCUCAAGCAGGGACGAAAGUCGGGACUAGUGAUCUGACGGUGGCACGUGGAAGCGCCGUCACUCAACGGAUAAAAGGUACCCCGGGGAUAACAGGCUGAUCUUGCCCGAGCGUCCAUAGCGACGGCAUGGUUUGGCACCUCGAUGUCGGCUCGUCGCAUCCUGGGGCUGGAGUCGGUCCCAAGGGUUGGGCUGUUCGCCCAUUAAAGCGGCACGCGAGCUGGGUUUAGAACGUCGUGAGACAGUUCGGUCCCUAUCCGCUGCGCGCGUAGGAAUCUUGAGAGAGGCUGUCCUUAGUACC